rnacentral:rRNA from 1 species
AGUGAACGCUGGCGGUAGGCCUAACACAUGCAAGUCGAACGGCAGCACAGUAAGAGCUUGCUCUUACGGGUGGCGAGUGGCGGACGGGUGAGGAAUACAUCGGAAUCUACUUUUUCGUGGGGGAUAACGUAGGGAAACUUACGCUAAUACCGCAUACGACCUACGGGUGAAAGCAGGGGAUCUUCGGACCUUGCGCGAUUGAAUGAGCCGAUGUCGGAUUAGCUAGUUGGCGGGGUAAAGGCCCACCAAGGCGACGAUCCGUAGCUGGUCUGAGAGGAUGAUCCGCCACACUGGAACAGAGGCACGGCCCAGACACCUAGAGGAGGCAGCAGCGGGGAAUAUUGGACGAUGGAGGAAAGCCGGAUCCAGCCAUACCGGGGGAGUGAAGAAGGCGUUCGGGUUGGAAAGUCCUUUUGUUGGUAAAGAAAAGCAGCAGGUUAAUACCCCGCUGUUCUGACGGUACCCAAAGAAGAAGCACCGGCUAACUUCGUG